rnacentral:misc_RNA from 1 species
GAAAUGCGAUAAGUAAUUUGAAUUGCAGAAUUCAGUGAAUCAUCGAAUCUUUGAACGCACCUUGCGCUCCUUGGUAUUCCUUGGAGCAUGCCUGUUUGAGUAUCAUGAAAUCUUCAAAGUAAAUCUUUUGUUAACUCAAUUGGUUUCUACUUUGGUAUUGGAGGUCUUUGCAGCUUCACACCUGCUCCUCUUUGUUCAUUAGCUGGAUCUCAGUGUUAUGCUUGGUUCCACUCGGCGUGAUAAGUUAUCUAUCGCUGAGGACACUGUAAAAGGUGGCCAAGGUAAAUGCAGAUGAACCGCUUCUAAUAGUCCAUUGACUUGGACAAUACUUUUAUGAUCUGAUCUCAAAUCGGGUAGGACUACCCGCUGAACUUAAGC